UGCAUUGUUGCCCCACCGGAA
rnacentral:piRNA from 1 species